rnacentral:rRNA from 1 species
UACCAGCACCCCGAGUGGUCGGGACGAUUAUUGGGCCUAAAGCAUCCGUAGCCGGUCCUGCAAGUCUUCCGUUAAAUCCAGCUGCUUAACAGAUGGGCUGCGGAGGAUACUAUAAGACUAGGAGGCAGGAGAGGCAAGCGGUACUCAGUGGGUAGGGGUAAAAUCCGUUGAUCCAUUGAAGACCACCAGUGGCGAAGGCGGCUCACUGGCCCGUAACUGACGCUGAGGCACGAAAGCGUGGGGAGCAAACAGG